CCAACUCCUUACCGCCUCUACGUAUAUCCAACAGUGCCCCUGUAACCCCUCCUCUUUCUUCCCCAACUAGAGGUUCAAAGCGUAAACCUGAUUGGGAGCCUCUUUCUCAUAUCAAAUUACCGCCUUCAUUGCCGCACUCUCUUUUUGCUGCUUCAGCACCAGCGAGUCCUACACGACGUCAGCAUUUCACACCUGCCACAAUUCCAGAAUGCGAUGAGUCUGAUAUAUCCCCAGUCGAGUCUGCUCGCUGGGUGAGUUUCCAGACAGCCCCAGCUGCUCCAUCUUCACCCACAUUCAACCUUGUGAAACCUGCCACUCUGCAAAAUCAUCAGGAUGUAGUCGAUGGUCGUGGACAGUUUCCCUGGGGUGCAGGGGCACAAAGGGGAUGUGGCUCUGAAUUUGCAUUUGAGAGUUGCACAGUGAAGGCAUGGGAGGGUGAAAGAGCACAUGAAAUUGGGGUGGAUGACUUAGAGCUCACCCUGGGGAGUGGAAAGGCCCAUGGUUAAGCCUCCUGUCUAGAUAGUUGAUGAUAGAAGAUGAACGUAAAAGGACUCACUAGGGUCUUCAUCUCUGCAUAAUUUCUUAUCACUACAUUGUAAUCCGUUUCUGCUGAUGGAGGUCUCUUGAUCUCCUCUUUGGUGCUUGCUGCCAGAUUUGCUUCCGCUAUGAAGUCACAGACUUGUUAGCCUCCAUUGCUGUAUGUUCAG
rnacentral:lncRNA from 1 species